rnacentral:rRNA from 1 species
UACGUAGGGUGCAAGCGUUAAUCGGAAUUACUGGGCGUAAAGCGUGCGCAGGCGGUUUUGUAAGUCUGACGUGAAAUCCCCGGGCUCAACCUGGGAAUUGCGUUGGAGACUGCAAGGCUAGAAUCUGGCAGAGGGGGGUAGAAUUCCACGUGUAGCAGUGAAAUGCGUAGAGAUGUGGAGGAACACCGAUGGCGAAGGCAGCCCCCUGGGUCAAGAUUGACGCUCAUGCACGAAAGCGUGGGGAGCUAACAGG